AACGAACGCUGGCGGCAGGCCUAACACAUGCAAGUCGAGCGAGGACUUCGGUCCUAGCGGCGGACGGGUGAGUAACGCGUGGGAACGUGCCCUUUGCUUCGGAAUAGCCCUGGGAAACUGGGAGUAAUACCGGAUGAGCCCUUUGGGGGAAAGAUUUAUCGGCGAAGGAUCGGCCCGCGUUGGAUUAGGUAGUUGGUGGGGUAAUGGCCUACCAAGCCGACGAUCCAUAGCUGGUUUGAGAGGAUGAUCAGCCACACUGGGACUGAGACACGGCCCAGACUCCUACGGGAGGCAGCAGUGGGGAAUCUUAGACAAUGGGGUAAACCCUGAUCUAGCCAUGCCGCGUGAGCGAUGAAGGCCUUAGGGUUGUAAAGCUCUUUCAGCUGGGAAGAUAAUGACGGUACCAGCAGAAGAAGCCCCGGCUAACUCCGUG
rnacentral:rRNA from 1 species